UUAUAAAUACAAUACAAGUAGAUUUUACUGAAAACCAAUUCUUUCAUUAGAAAUUUAAAGUAAAAUGGUUAGCAAUUUUCUGUAAAACAGACUAUACCCAUCCAAUAGUGAAUAUACCCACGACUGUUCGUUUGGAUCAACGCGAACUCCUCCUUCGGCAUUUGGGACUCUUGGAUUCUUAGGCAUUGCAUAUAGAAUAUAUUUUCGACCUUUGAUAAAGACAAUGAUCGAUUGGAUGACGAGAUCGGUGCCUCGAGGCACAAGAGGUGUGCCAUCUGACACGGCGAUCUUCGUACCGCCUUAGCGUUGCAAUGAUGCGUAUCUUAGGUAUGAGUACCUAUUCAAUUUGAACGAAUCCUCCAUAUAAAAAUGAAUCCAUAAUUCCCUGGUCUCGCUAUACCUGAAAAUGACUUUACUAAUCUAUAUAUAUCUGGGAUGGACCGCAAAAGGACGGUCUAGUUUAUCGGUGAAAAAUACUUGUGGAUAACCUGUAACUGGUUGUCCUCGUUUUCGUCGUUGGAAUUUUUUUGAUGAUUGAUUCCAGAGUAAUGGCGAAAACGGAGAAAUGGUAUUUAAUAUUCCACAUGGACCAUGUAUCAUAUUUUUUGUAAUAACCUCAUGUAACAGUGGGUCUUCAUUAUAAUCGGGAAUUUCUGUUGAUAUCACAUAAUCAAUAUCAUUCGGUCUUAUCCUUUCAACCAACCAAAUGAGGAUAUGUGCAUGUGGUAAUCCGCGUUUUUGCUACUCAACUGAGUACAUCCAACAGCGCGUCUCGCCGAACACGCGAUGCUUAA